rnacentral:lncRNA from 1 species
ACCCGGAAGAACGUACAGGGGAAGUUGCGGGUCGGCAGCAAGGAGAGACUGACUUUCUUUGGACAAGUUCAGUUGAGUCCUUCGCAUUCAAGCCAUCAAGUUGUAAAAAUCAGAGCCAACUUUACGCAUCAGCUCCAGCUGCAGCUCCCUUCCUCUGCUCUAAUGGAGGGAGAUGUGUGUUGGAACCCCAAGAACAACACUGACUUUGAUUAUGAGGCCAGAGGGAAACUGAGAGUAGAGCGGCAGGAGUGCAAAGUGAGUGAAGCUAAAUCUGCGUUUUUAAUUACUGCAUGUUUGAUCAGCAGUGUCUCUGAUGAAUUUGUGGUAUCAAGGAGUUUUUUUUCUUUUCAGCUUUCUGUACAGCUCAAUAGAACAUCAGACAGAGUCCGACUGCAUUCGUUUCUCAGUCAUCCCUUCAAAUCAAAGAUCCCCAAAACCCUCGAGGUAGGCUGCUACUGUGUUUCGUCAAGUUAUUUUAUUCAACUUUCCGAAAAACAAGUGUUGUGCCGGGAUCUGUUUUUAGGUUUUGAGGUGUCUUAUUAUUUUAUUUUUUUCGUUUUUCCAUGUUAAGGUGAAGGCCAGUGUAGAUAUAUCGAGAGUGGCAGGUAAAGGUAGUAGCUCGGUACACGUGAGGGCUGAUGGGAAGGACAGGGUGAGGCUGGAGGCCCAGAUGGCCCACUCCCUCCAAAGGGAACUCAGAGCUGUUGGACUAAGGAUGAACUUAUCGCAAAGUUUGCUGCCUACGGCCACUGACCUGCACGUAAACAUGGCUGCCAACAUGUCCUCAGACAGGUCUGUGUCUCCGCCUGUAUCUUACAUGUAACACAUGGCAAAGCAGCAAGGUCUGAUUUAUGGACUCGUGGUCUCAUUUGUGUGUUUUCUGCUUGUCUCUUGCUCUGCCAGUGUGUCUUUACAUGGCUCUUACACGCAGGGGAAUGAGCUCCUGCUCGUCCAGGUUAAAGGAUCUGUAGGAAACACCCAGGGUCGACAGCUGGCUGUGUCAGGGGACCUGAGGCACUCCAUGGCCAACCUUGUUAUUCUACCUACUGCCCUGGGGUUGGAUGGGGCACUGGGACAGUCUGACUCCCUCAUCGAAGGACAGCUAAGAGUUAGAGUAAUGGAGAAUUUGUACAGUGUAGAGCUGAGGCAUCAGCAGGACCCCGGGGAACCUUUGGACAGUGAAGAUGAAGAAGGCAUGAUGGGAAAAAAGUCCAGCAGGGCCCACGAUUGGCUGUCUGUUCAGGCAGGGGAGGAGAACCUGUUUGUGAACGUGCGCCGCCAGCUGGGGAAUCGAGGAAGGGGUGAGGUCUACGCCCAGCUCUCUCACUCUUUCCACCUACUCAAGCUCACAGGUGUACCUGCCAACAUCAGUGCCCAGGUGAAGUGGGCCCAGGGUAGCGGUCAGCUGUCACUACUGGCAGAGCUGCAGACUGGUCCUGAAUAUCUGAAGGCCGAAUUUAAUGGUGGCAAAACAGACCAUCUUAUCCCCCGAUGGGAAUUCUUCUCUGGGCUGCAGCAUCAAGUCAAAGCUUUGCUGAAAAGUGGCUUGUCAAGCUCCAUACAUGCCAAAGUGUUUUACCAGGUAAAGUACUUUCAUGACAACAUACUUUUCUGUCCCUGGCAACUUCCUAUUUUUUUGUGUAGGAUUCUCAUUUUCUUUUAUUGAGUCUAAUGUUUAUUUCACUUUCUAUUGUUUAAUGAUUUCCCCCCUGUUAGGUCGAAGCAGAAGGGUUAGAUACAGGUUUGAUCUUCUACAUGGAAGAUCAGAAAAUGGCUGACAUCGCUUUCAAUGUGGGAUCAAAAAACAGCACAGCUGUAUUGUUAGUGUCUCUAUGGCAACAGAUGAGACUUCUCCAGGGACUCAUACCCACCUCUUUACAGGUACAUUUGACAUCAUUUACUCAUGUUCAUCUGCAGAUUUCUGUCUGUGACUAAAAAUAUAAAGCGUGACUGUGCGUUUAUUAAUAUUACUUUUCUUACA